rnacentral:rRNA from 1 species
GACGUAGGGCGCGAGCGUUGUCCGGAUUUAUUGGGCGUAAAGAGCUCGUAGGCGGUGUGUCGCGUCGGCCGUGAAAACCUGCAGCUUAAUUGUGGGCUUGCGGUCGAUACGGGCAUCACUGGAGUUCGGCAGGGGGAGACUGGAAUUCCUGGUGUAGCGGUGAAAUGCGCAGAUAUCAGGAGGAACACCGGUGGCGAAGGCGGGUCUCUGGGCCGAUACCGACGUGAGGAGCGAAAGCGUGGGGAGCGAACAGG